NNNNUUGCGCAGUGGCAGUAUCGUAGCCAAUGAGGUUUAUCUGAGGCGCGAUUAUUGCUAAUUGAAAAAGGGGAUAACUAGAAUAGC
ensembl:snRNA U4 U4 spliceosomal RNA